rnacentral:lncRNA from 1 species
UUAGUUUUAAAGAAAACUAGAUUGAGACAUGAAUUUCUUCUGAAAUUACAUGGAAUGGUAUUACCUUCUGUGAUUUGAGAGCAGAAAUCAAGUCUGCCUGGAUUUGUCAGUACGUAAAAAACAAAAGAACUGAAAUUUGACUUUUGAAAAAUUAGAAAGAAUUAGAUGAAAGUUAAAUGAAAACCAAGAUAAAGGUGGAAGUUAAAAAAUGAAUAAAGGCUGAGUUGUUGGGUUUUUUUUAGACCUUACAAUUUCCUUACUUUUUAUUUUAAAAUGAAACAGUAAACCAUUGGCUUAGCUAAUAUUUUUCAUUUUUUGUCCAACAGGGAAAUAGAGGUCCUCCUGGGGUGCCAGGUUUGAUGGGAAAUUCUGGUAAACAGGUAAGGUCGUUAAUCUUAAGCAAAAGAUCUAGAAAAAUGAAAAAUUUUGCAUUGUGCAAAAAAUCACUUUUCAGAUUUAUUGUGUUCUUCCUAUCCCCAAAACAGGGUGAACGGGGCCCAGAGGGAGAAGUGGGUCCAACAGGACCUCGUGGACCACCAGGUAGCAGAGGGGAGCCAGGUCCUGCAGGUCCUCCAGGUUUACCAGGGAAAUGGGGUCCCCAGGGUGAUAUUGGACUUCCUGGACUGCCAGGUCCUCCAGGCCUACCUGGUAGUAAGGGUGACCGGGGUUCGGUGGGUGAACCAGGACCUAAGGGUGAACAAGUAAGUUUUGUUAGAGAUCACGGUACUUUCAAGUCACACUACCAAAUGCUGCAGUACAUUACAUUGACCAAAUCUGAAGGCUGACAGUAUGUCUUUUUUUGAUGUAGGGUGCACCUGGAGCAGAAGGAGAUGGAGGAGAAAAGGGUGACUUAGUAAGACAUUAUUUUCUCUUUACCUGAUCUAAUAUUUUGUUGUCAUAAAUUAAAACUUUAAAGUAUUGUUGGAGUGCUUCAAGCAUACGUUUUGAUCAUUGAAAGUCACAUUUCAGUUUUAUACUAACUAGGUAUUGCAAAGCACAGAAGUUCUGUUAGCUCAUGUCAUUAGUUCAUGUCAUUCCUGCUGUUUUGAAAGCACUCUGAAAUACUCCUGUUCUCUUAGGUGUUUAAUACAGUACGGGCUGCCUUGAAGGGUGUGCGUGUGUAUGUGUAUAUAGAUACAUAUGUAGGCAUACACUAAGCGUUUAAAUAUAUAUAUGCAUACACAUAAAUUCUGGGUGUUUGAGGCAGUGAGGCUGAGAGGGCAGUUUAAUUCAGGUGAAACAGGAACACUGACAAUAAAUAUCCUUAGAAAUCAGAUAUGAUGGAAAUAUUUUGUAU